rnacentral:rRNA from 1 species
CGGGACCCGCACAAGCGGUGGAUGAUGUGGUUUAAUUCGAUGCAACGCGAAAACCUUAACCCACCUUUGACAUGUACGGAAUCCUUUAGAGAUAGAGGAGUGCUCGAAAGAGAACCGUAACACAGGUGCUGCAUGGCUGUCGUCAGCUCGUGUCGUGAGAUGUUGGGUUAAGUCCCGCAACGAGCGCAACCCUUGUCAUUAGUUGCUACAUUCAGUUGGGCACUCUAAUGAGACUGCCGGUGACAAACCGGAGGAAGGUGGGGAUGACGUCAAGUCCUCAUGGCCCUUAUGGGUAGGGCUUCACACGUCAUACAAUGGUCGGUACAGAGGGUUGCCAAGCCGCGAGGUGGAGCCAAUCCCAGAAAGCCGAUCGUAGUCCGGAUUGUUCUCUGCAACUCGAGAGCAUGAAGUCGGAAUCGCUAGUAAUCGCGGAUCAGCAUGUCGCGGUGAAUACGUUCCCGGGUCUU